UACAGAGGGGGCAAGCGUUAUUCGGAAUUAUUGGGCGUAAAGGGCGCGUAGGCGGCCUUGCAAGUGACGGGUGAAAUCCCUCGGCUUAACCGAGGAACUGCCUGUCAAACUGCGUGGCUUGAGACCAGGAGAGGUGAGUGGAAUUCCCAGUGUAGCGGUGAAAUGCGUAGAUAUUGGGAGGAACACCAGUGGCGAAGGCGGCUCACUGGACUGGUACUGACGCUGAUGCGCGAAAGCGUGGGGAGCGAACAGG
rnacentral:rRNA from 1 species